rnacentral:rRNA from 1 species
CCUACGGGUGGCAGCAGUGAGGAAUCUUGGUCAAUGGACGAGAGUCUGAACCAGCCAAGUAGCGUGAAGGAUUACUGCCCUAUGGGUUGUAAACUUCUUUUAUAUGGGAAUAAAACGUUCCACGUGUGGGAUUUUGUAUGUACCAUAUGAAUAAGGAUCGGCUAACUCCGUGCCAGCAGCCGCGGUAAUACGGAGGAUCCGGGCGUUAUCCGGAUUUAUUGGGUUUAAAGGGAGCGUAGGUGGUUUGUUAAGUCUGUUGUGAAAGUUUGGGGCUCAACCGUACAAGUGCAGUUGAAACUGGCAGUCUUGAGUACAGUAGAGGUUGGCGGAAUUCGUGGUGUAGCGGUGAAAUGCUUAGAUAUCACGAAGAACUCCGAUUGCGAAGGCAGUUCACUGGACUGCAACUGACACUGAGGCUCGAAAGUGUGGGUAUCAAACAGGAUUAGAUACCCGGGUAGUC